CCUACGGGAGGCAGCAGUCGAGAAUCAUUCACAAUGGGCGCAACCCUGAUGGUGCGACGCCGCGUGGGGGAAUGAAGGUCUUCGGUUUGUAAACCCCUGUCAUGUGGAAGCAUAGUAGAAGGAUAGUACCACAAGAGGAAGAGACGGCUAACUCUGUGCAAGCAGCCGCGGAAGUACGGAGGUCGCGAGCGUCGGACGGACUCACUGGGGGUAAAGCGUGCGUAGGCUGUUUUGUAAGUCGUGUGUGAAAGGCGCGGGCUCAACCGGCGGACUGCACAUGAUACUGUGAGUCUAGAGUAAUGGAGGGGGAACCGGAAUUCUGGGUGUAGCAGUGAAAUGCGUAGAUAUUGAGAGGAACACUCGUGGCGAAGGCGGGUUGCUGGACAUUAACUGACGGUGAGGCACGAAGGCCAGGGGAGCGAAAGGGAUUAGAUACCCCAGUAGUC
rnacentral:rRNA from 1 species